UUUAAUCUUUUGAGAUUUUAACUAACAUAUCAUUGAUAUUUAUGUUUUAUUAAUUAUCUCUGUAAGCAAAUACAAAUUGACGUAUUAUGCAUCUACUAGACAAGGGUUGCUCAAUUUCCAUCCCCUGGGCCAAAUGCAGCCCCAUGGAGCCAUCACAUCUGGCUUGUGGGGCUCCCCAGGGGUCUGGGGAAUUGGCAGCAAGCGAGUGGUGGCCAUGAACACAGCCUCCCCCCCACUUUCCCCUGCCAAAUCCCCAAGCCCCAGUACCUGCAUGGCUGGUCUGAGCCAAGCUAUGCCUCUUUCCCCCGUGGGCCUGGGCCAUGUUCCCCCACUUCGGGAUCAGGGUUGGACCGUGUCCCCUUCCUUUCCUGCAGGGCCGGGUUGGGCCGGGCCACGCGCUCUUUCCCUCCCGACACGGUCACCUGGCUAGCCUUCUUUCCCUCUUGACAAGGAUGGGUCAAGCUCCUUUCCCCAUCAGGGCUGUGUUGAAGCCAGUUUGUCCCCCACCUGGCCAGAUGGUGCCCACCCACGUGCCAGAGCAGGAACACCUGGAUCCAGCCCAUGAAUGUAUUGGCCACUGACAGUCUGGCCUGCCGUGUAAAACUGUUGGGGCUGCACUGUACUAUCGGUGGUCCAUUAAACCAAUUUUAAAGAAACGAGUCAUGGAAUCACAGAUUAUGCGAUCAUAAUUUUAUCACUACUUUAGAUUUUCCUUUCAAAGGAAAAAAUAGAAGUACUCUGUGACAGGCUCACAGCCACAGGGGCUGCCAUGACACCCCUAGCGGCCUUGCUGCUCCUGCCUGGCUCCAGCUCUAAUGUCACUCUCUCUUCAUUGUUCACCAGCCGUGCCUUGCUCUUAAUAUUACAGGUUGAUUCAAGGAGGCUGCUAGCAGGCCUUAGAGUGAGCCCGAAUCCAGUAAGUUUCCCCUGGGUCUGAGGCCCCAUUGGCCGCUAUCCAGACACCCAACCUUGGUAGGUUCCUCUCGGCCUGACUACAGGUGCCCUACAGGGACCUAGCCUUAAGGGCAAACGGUGCGGUUCCUUUUCCUCCCCUACACCACGCCCUAAGCCUCAGAGGUGUUCUCCCUUUGAUUUUCCUUCUUAUACACUCUGCCCCCUUGAGCUCUCAGACCCCUCCCCCGCCCAGCCCUGGACACAGGUGGCUCUGGGCCUCUUGGACCUCGUGAUCUGGGUCUCAGCCUUUUUUCAGUUCUGGGACCCCUCCCUGGGUCCCACCCUCAGUGUGAGGGCUCCUGGGAUACUGGCUGUCUAAGCAAGCCUUGAGUCUGCACCCCCAGGGUUCAAGGCUAAACAUAAAUCAAUAAGAAACAUCACGGCCGUCUGGCAGACACCUCAGUCUUUAGAGGUGUAACAUAAAGACCACUUGCCUGUAAACCCAGUCUUCCUCAGUCCAAGAAACUUGCCUCUGUUUCCAGACCUGUAGAGUUGUUCAGCCAAAAUCCAGUUCCCUUCAGGGACCCGGAGCCAGGAGUUCUGCACUGUGCAGUAGCUGGGGAGAAACGAACAGACUGGUGCAGACUCUGGGCUCAUGUAGCUCUAGCCUGAGCCGUCUUCCAGCCAGGUGAGUCCCUCAUUAGCUCCCCCCUGCCCCCUAAAAGCAGCCUCUCGGGCUGCUUGCUCUCCUAAAGGGUCAGGCACAUCCCAGUGCCCUGCUACAUAUUCUGUAUACUAGAUAACCAUGGUAGUUGAUUACUGUGUUAGUUAUUUGUACGUCCUUCGAUGAGGAGAGGUGACAAUCCCGACUAAAGUUCUGUUGUAGCAGAUGCUGUACAAAUGCAAAUAAAGACUUAGGGUGCGUGUAGAUGAAAUGAAAAUUCCCGUUUAUGUCGACGCAACUGCAUUUGUCACUAUGGCCUGUUUGUUAGUUCUUAUCCUGAAAAGAUAUAGUCUCAAAAAGCUCCAUUUGUAUUCGAAGGCCAAGUCUGCGUGUGCAUAGUUUUCGACAAAUGAGCUGUUAAACUCAGUAAGACUCUUGGCCCAUGAGGCUAAAUGUUUGCAUAAUCUUUUGCAGAAGUGGGGUGUGAAACUAGUUUUACAAAUACACAGCAAAGCUAAGGCAGGUCUUACCUUUAAAGCCGCUAAUCAAUCUAGUGUUAUGACUUCAUUUACUUAGCUAGAGUAAACCAAACAAAGGAAAUGAGACUUAAUAGAUACAGCAUGGGAUACUGGAGUUUUUACAGGUUAGUUUUAUUUUGGUACUGUUUGUAGGCCACAUUAGCCCACUGAUUGCACUGGUUGCUGUGCAAACACACAUGAGCUUCAUGCUGAUAAAUUACAAUUUUAAGCCUUGGGACCGUUCUCUUUCUGUCUUGGUUGGAGGAUUUGGACCAAAAAGGAGAAACACAGGGAGGGGGGACUUUGGGGAAGUGAUUGAACAGAACAAAAUCUGAAAAACGAUUCUGCAAGAAUAUCUUCUUUUACCACCUGUCAUGAUGUAGAAAUAGGCAAGAGGUCAGUUUGGCUUUUAAAUUCAGGAGCAGUGUGUAGGUCUGGGAUGAAAAAAACCACCCCAUUUCUUCCACCUGUUCCCUUAUAUACUAAGCAAAUCUGAUGUAGAGAAAGAAGGGUUUUGUUUUUACGAAAACUGCACUUAACCUUGACCUGGCAAUCGCAUAGCAUCAUAGCUCUUAACUUACUUGAAUAUUUGAUUACUGUAACUUUAAAAAAAAUGAAACAUCUAGGAAUUAAGAACUGUAAAGUAAUAGGUAGUGUGUUAUUUUAUCAUCUCAGGUUCAAGCAGGACAGUUUCAGGAAAGUAUGACUUGAGAGAGGCAGCCAGACAGACAAUCCAAAUGCUUCAGUUGGCAGGAUGAAGUGAUAUGCUAAUGUAAGAGAAAAGGUGGGUGUACAAUGGCAAGGAAAUAAAUACCCGUUAAAGGGAUGGGAGGUCUAGGACAGUGGUUCUCAACUUUUUUUGUACCAGGACCUAUUUAUGAAGAUCAGUGGCCAGUGCUGACCUGCUUUCCCCCAGCCCUGCUAAAGGGAGCCCCCAGCUGCCCCUGUGCCAUUCGGGCCGAAGUCCCGCAGUUUGUGCGGAUUUCAGCGGAGAGAGUCCAGCCCCAGCACAGGCUGGAGGGAGAAGGGGAGGCCUGUGGCGGCCCCCCCUGCCCUGGUCUGGGGCUGCCAUGCCUCACCAGGAGCCUGGUCACGGUCCCUCCAGCCCAUCCCUCAGCAGCGUCUCCCAGUUGCUCUGCCCAUACAAGUAUGAGCACCAGCUGUAGUGCCACCAGCCCAGCUAUGCAGCUCCCCCCGAUGCCUCCUUCUCUUGCUGAAGGGGCAGGCUCCUACCCGUCCUGUCCCCCCUGCCCUGAUGCAGCCUUGGCGCCCGGCUAUCUUCCCCCAUAUCUGGCAGGUACCCAUCCCCCCUGCCCACACACACACACACGCACACACAGUCCCCAAGUCCCGGACCUCCAACCCCCACUGAUCAUACACUUACCUGCAUCCAGCUAUUGGUGCUACUCCCAGGACCCUGCCUGGGUGCAUGCAGGCCAUGGGGAUGUGUGUGCAGAGACGCACGUGUGCCUGCUGCCUCCAGUCACCCAAAGCAGUGACUUGCAGGCAGGCUGGAAUGAAGGUUGUGUGUCUGGGGAAUGACAAGCUAGAUGUGUGUGGGCUAGCUCGGAAGAUGACAUUGGGAGAGAUUGGGGGUGGAGGGGAAGAGGUGGGAGAGGUGGAUUCUUUGCUAGUGAGCUUCCCUGGGAAUCAGCCAGCGUGGGAUAGCUAGAAUCUUCCUGCGAGCCCAGCUGUAGGUGUUCGGAUUCAAUGCUGGCAAGCAUAAUAAAUAUUGUUAUAGUGUUUUGCUGAUAGUGUUAGAGCACAGGUGCUCAACCUCUGGUCCAUGGGCCAAUUGCAGCCUGUGGAGCUAUGAUAUCUGCCCCAUUGGGCUCCCCACAGUUGGGAAAUUUGGGGGUUUCUCACCUGUCAACUCUUUCUUCUGGUGAGACACCCCCCUCCCCCUCCAUUGCCUUUGGAUUGGUUUCUUGUCAUGCCCCUACCUUUCCUCCCUCCAUGGGCUUCGAUUGGGGCUGGCCAAAAAUCCCUGUUCAUGCUGGAUCAGGACUGGGCUGUCCCCUAGCCCGCUCUGGACAGCUGGAUGGGACCCUGUCAUGAACUCCUUGGGCCCCAGACUGGAACCACACUGCGUACUGCUUGCAUAUGGAUUGGGCACUGCCCAUCCGUCUCACCAGACAGAAAGGUUGAGCACUCUUUGUUAAGAGUGGUGUUUUAGCUGUGAUGAUCCAGGAAGUAUGCAAAAGGCAGGGAUUUUUUGGGUGUGGUGACUUUUAUUGGACCAACUGCAUGGUUGGAAUUAAGUUAGAUAAGCUUUCAAACACAAGAUUCAUAAAUUAAUAGAUUCAUAGAUGCUAGGGUUGGAACGGACCUCAACAGACCAUUGAGUCUGACCCCCUGCCUAGGCAGGAAAGAGCGCUGGGGUCAGAUGACCCCAGCCAGAUGCCUAUCCAGCCUUCUCCUAAAGACUCCCAAGGUAGGGGAGAGCACCACCUCCCCUGGAAGCCCAUUCCAAAUUGUGGCCACCCUUACCGUGAAGAAAUUUUUCCUGAUGUCUAGCCUAAAUCUGCUCUCUGUCAGUUUGUGACCAUUGUUCCUUGCUACCCCAAGAGGCGUCCUGGUGAACAGAGCAUCUCCGGUUCCUUGCUGCGCCCCCCUAAUGAAUUUGUAGUUGGCCACAAGAUCACCUCUCAGCCUUCUCUUGUGGAGGCUGAAGAGGUCCAGAUCCCUUAGUCUCUCCUCAUAGGGCUUAGCCUGUAAACCCUUAACCGUAUAAGUGGCUCUCCUCUGGACCCUCUUGAAGCUGUCCACAUCCUUCUUAAAGUAUGGCGCCCAAAACUGGAUGCAGUACUCCAACUGCGGUCUGACCAGUGCCGCAUAGAGGGGAAGUGUCACCUCCUUGGUUCUAGUUGUCAUGCAUCUGCUGAUGCACGAUAAAGUGCAGUUAGCUUUGCUGAUGAUUUCGUCACACUGCCGACUCAUGUUCAUCUUGGAGUCCACUAGGACUCCGAGAUCCCUUUCCGAUUCUGCGCUGCUGAGAGGGUCAUUUCCUAGCCAGUAGGUGCGCUGGAUAUUUUUAUGUUCUAGGUGCAGUACUCUGCAUUUGCCCUUGUUGUACUGUGUCCUGUUGUGUUCAGCCCACUUUUCCAACCUGUCCAGGUCUGCCUGCAGUCAUUCCCUACCCUCCAGAGUGCUUACUUCACCCCACAAUUUAGUAUCAUCUGCAGACUUGCACAGAGGACACUUCACGCCCACAUCCAAGUCACUGAUGAAGACACUGAAGAGUACAGGUCUGAGGACUGAGCCCGGUGGGACCCCACUACCCAGAUGCUUCCAGGUCGAUACCGACCCGUCUACUACCACUCUCUGGGUGCGACCCGCAAGCCAAUUUGCCACCCACCAGACCGUGUAAAGAUCUAAGUCACAGCCUCUUAAUUUAUUUAAGAGAAUGGGAUGAGAUAUGGAAUCGAAGGUCUUCCUAAAAUCCAAAAAAACAACAUCCACCUCUACUUCUGCAUCAGCAUUUUGUGACCUGGUUAUAAAAUGAAACCAGAUGAGUCAGGCAUGAUCCACCUGCUACUGAUCAAUGCUGGUUGCCCUGCUGCAUUAUUUUUCCCACUGGACACCCACAAAUAUGAUCCUUAAUAAUCUUUUCAAAGACUUUUCCAAGGGUGGAGGUGAGGCUGACUGCCGUAUAAUGACUUGUACCCUCUUUCCUCCCCUUUUUGAAAAUGGGGACCACAUUGGCCCUUUUCCAGUCGUCUGGGACCUGACCCGAGUGCCACGAGUGCUCAAACAGCCGUGCCAGUGGUUCUGCAAUGACACCGGCAAAUGCCUUCAGUGCUCGCGGAUGCAGCGCAUCUGGGCCUGCUAACUUAAACACACCCAGUCCAUCCAAGUGACUCUGCACCACGUCAGCGUUGACAGUUGGUAGGCUGGUAUCCCUCUGAUCCCAUCUAAGAACCUGUUAGGAGACUGAUCUUGACCCUUCUUCAAGGACACUGAGGCAAAAAACUCAUUGAAUAGCUCAGCCUUGUCCCCCCUGUCUGUCACUAAGUGCUCCUGUUUCUUCAGUAGGGGUCCUGUGCUGCCCUGCGCCUUCCUUUUACUCCCUACAUACCUGACAAUAGACUUUUUGUUGUCUUUAAUUUGUGUUGCCAGCCUCAGCUCUGUAGUUGCUUUGGCCUUUCUAACUGGCACCCUGCAAGUGCGGGUCAAGUAGAUACACUCCUCCUUGGUAGCUUCCUCCUGCUUUCACCACCUAUAUGCCUUUUUUUUUUUUUUUUUUUGCCCUUAGGCUUUUCUGGAUGUCUGUGUUUAGCCAAGGAGGUUUUUUGGCCCCUUUCUCCCCUUUCCCUCGCACUGGGAUCAUCUCCCUCUGUGCCUGAAGGAUCGCUUCCUUUAGGAACGACCACCCUUCCUGGACUUCCAUCUCGCCAAUACUCCUCUCCUGCAGUGCAUUGCUGAUUAAACUGAGCACACUGAAGUUAGCCUUCCUAAAGUCAAGCACCUCCAUCCUAUUAUUAUCUUACCCACUCGACGCCCUAUGAUGAAUUUGAUUGAGUGAGUGGUGGUCACUGUCCCCAAGGUGACCACGAAUCUGUAGUUCCCCUACCAGGUCAUCCCCCAUAGCCAACACCAAGUCCAGUGGGACCAUAUACUUCCUGCGUUAGGUGAGCGGUUGGAUUUGGCUGACUGCUCUUCCCAGCAGAUGUCAGGGUAGUUUAGGUCCCCCGUGACAACCAUGUCCCUAGACUGUACGGCCUCUGAGAGCUGCUGCAAGCAUUCCCAGUCUAGCUCUGCUCCUUGAUGUGGUGGUCUGUAGCAGACCCCCAUCACCAGGUCCCUUUCCCCUUGACCUCCAUGUGUCCUAACCCACAAUGCUUUAACUUUCUCUUAAGACUCCCUUCUGUGCACUCACCUGAACACUGUCUGAAGCCAGUGAUGCUGAUGUGCAGUUCAGACUCCUCCUGCUCUCCCCUCAACUAAAUAGGGAUGGGAGAAAACCCCUUCCCACUUCCCUACAGCUGGCCCAGCUCACCUUAUUGCUGCUGCUGGUUCCUUACCACGGCACAGGCACGAAGGGCGCACACAUGCUUGCUUCAGCAUCCAACUAAAAGUCAAAUGUUCUAGGUGAGGCUUGAACUCACAACCUUGGCAUCACUUCCCCAGGGCUGUUUUAGAAGUUUCACAUGCUAACCCACUGCACCACGAGAGCUGAGCUAAAAGGUUCUUUGUCACUAUUUUAGAGCAUUGGUUUAAAGUAAUUGUAUCUCUGCUAUUGGCUUUUGGAUUUAAUAAAGACAUUUGAACUGAAUUACUGACACGCUCAAUCAAAUUCUAACACAACAUGCAGGGCGCAUCUACAUGUGUCACUAUGGCAACUUUACUGUGCUGUAUGUGUGGCACAUGAUUAUUUUUAGCCGCUACUUCACCGUAGUGGCGCGCUAUACCAGGGGAGCGUGUUGCAAUGGGGACGUAGGUGCUGUUUGCGUGUGGAUGCCCAUGGAUGCUACAUCACCAAUUUUGUUUCUUAUACUGCUGUUUUUCCAAAUGUUUCUAAUAAAUCAUAGAAAACUAGGGUUGAAAGGGGUUCCAGUAACUCAUCUAGUCCAACCCCUUGCUAAAAGCAGGACCAUCCUUAAUUUGAUCUUGCCAGAGAUUUGUCGAGCCGGGCCUUAAAAUCCUCCAAGAGUCCACCACCUCUCUAGAUAAGCCGUCCCAGCACUUCACCAGUCUCUUAGUCAGAAAGUUUUUCCUAAUCUCCCACUUGUUCACAUCCUUUCUGUAGUAGGGGGCACAAAACUGAACACAGUACUCCACAUGUAACCGCACCAGUGCAGAAUAGUGGGGAAUAAUGACUUCCCUCAGUGCUGACAACACUCCUACUAAUGCAGCCCGGUGUGCUGUUAGCCUUCUUGGCAACUAGCACACACUGUUGGCACCUAUUCAGCUUAUUGUCCACCGUAACCCCCAGGUCCUUUUCUGUGGAGCUGCUGCCAGCCAGUUGGUCCCAAGCCUGUAGCGGUGCAUGAGACUGUUCUGUCUUAAGUUCAGGACUUUGCACUUAUUCUUCUAGAGCUUUGCCUUCUUCCCCUGCAUGGCUGGUUUGGUGCCUGGCCAUUCUUCCUUCCAUGGGAUUGCCGUGGGGAUGGGCACACCCCGAACCUGCCGCUGUAGUGGGGCCUUGUCAAGCCCCUUGGGCUCAGGUUGAGGCUGACAAAGCCCCCUUUCUGCGCUGUCUUGGGGCUGGCGUGCACCCUGCCUCCCUCUGCACAGAUGGAUGGGGCCCUGGCAUGCCUUUGUUUAGAGCGAUGUUUGAGCACCCCGUGGUUUGAGCACCCGUUUGUGUAGAGUUAUGUUCUACCUGUGAUGAUCCAGGAAGUAUGCAAGAGGCAAGAUUUUUUGAGUGUGAUCACUUUUAUUGGACCAACUGAAUGGUUGGAAUUAAGUUAGGCAAGCUUUCAAACGCAAAACGUUCUUUGUCAGUGUUUUAGAGCAGUUGCUUAAAGCAGGUGUUGUCAACCUGGGGUAUGCCUACCCCUGGAGGUAAUUUGAAAGGUCCCAAGGAAUGUACAGGGGCAGGCGCAGAUGUAGGACACCUGCUGCCUCACAGGAGCAGGGCCAGGGCGGAGGGAGAACAGGGCCCACAGAAGCUGCGCUGCCGCUGCUCUGCCACUCACCGUGCCCCUGCUCUGUCUGGCCCUUGCCACCCCCCGCCACGUCUGACCGCUCGCCACCCCCACCUGCUCCACAUCCGGCUGCUCCCACCCCCCGGGGGUACACUUUUUAAAAAGGGGGCUGCCGGGGGUACACUUACUAAAAGAAAGGUUGAAAACUACUGGCUUAAAGUCUCUAUAUAUCUGCUAUUGGCUGUUGGAUUUAAUAAAGACAUUUUAGCUGAGUUCCUGACAUACUCAAUCAAACUCUAACACAACAUGCAGUGUUGUUCUGGCUUUUGAAGACUUUGCCCAGAAACCUCUGCUUUUUUAUUAAUUGCUGAUCAUUUUACAGCUUUUAGAGAAAAAGGAAAUUAGUUAAGCUCUUUCUGAGUAGUAAGAUACUCUUAUGUUUAUUAAAAGCUUAAUGAAAUUUGGGACAAUAACCAAAUAAUACCUUUAAAAUAUUUUUUAAAAGUUAUGAUUUUAUAUUAGGGGCGCACCGUGUCGCUGGGUUUCUUAAUCCGCUCCCUCUCUCUGCUCGCCCCUCUUUCCAACCAGACCUUUCCUAGCAAACUUCCUUGUAAACUGGCCUCUGUGCUGCCCCUUGGUCCCAAAAGCUUCCCUUUCCCCUGCUAACCCGCUUCCUCUCUCUAAGUUUACGGUGAAGGAAGGUGAGGGAGAGUUUCCAGAUAAAUUACCUAGCAAACGCCGCCUCCAACUUCCCUCUCACUCUGGACUCCAGUUAAGCAAGGAGCACAAGAACUGGUCUAAUUGCUGUGUAUUAGCGACUUACACUAAAUAGAUGUAGAUUAGGUACUCUCAAUUAAAGCAAGGUCUUACAUUAAAGGCUCCCCUUUAAAGAACGGGGGGCAAACUGACCUGUGAACUAACUUUAAAAAAACAUAAUAUUUCUAUAUAUAAAUAGAUACAUAUCUAUAUAACUGUACCUCUAACACAGUGGUUCCCGAACUGUAGGUCACAACCCCAAAUGGGAUUGAAAAAUCAGCGGGAUGGGGUGGCAGGGGUGGGGGGCUAUGGGUGGGGAGCGAAGGGUCAUGCUGAGGAAUGGGGCCAUAAAUGGGGUCAUGCUGAGGAAAAGUUUGGGAGGCACUGCUCUGACAGCCUGCCUUGUGACUGCCAUGGUUCGCUUGACAGUCCAAACCACACUUGUACAGUUACACCGCUCUUAGUCUUGUUACAAAGACUGUACUGUGCAGUGUGCACACCCGUCACCGUCACAUUGAAACCUGCAAACUGACUUAUGAACUGUUUGCAAACUGCCCCGUUUGCUGCCCCUGGUCACGCAGAGCCUCCUUUUCUCCCCUCCUGGGCCUUGUUAAGACUUUUGUCAGACAGAGGUAGCAGUCCCCCAGCUUGCAGCACUCCCAGCUCCUUAGAGCACGUGCCCAGACGAACAGGCAGCCCCAGCUCACUUUCCUUCCAGGGGUUCGGGUCAGGUGCCUGGCUCCUCUUCCCUUGUCUCCUUUGCCCUGUUUGCUGCCCGUUCACCUUGUUUCUCUCUACUGAGCCUUUCAAUGUACCUCAGUCUAACGUUUAUCUUUAAAUUCUCUUUUAUUUAGAGCCCUUGCUUUCUGUAAGUGCCUUCGUUGCAUCCCAAGACAAAAGCUGCUGCGUCGUUCAACCAGGUAGUCUCCAGCGUGCCACCCUGCCCAGAUUUAUUCCAAGGAAGGAGUAGUGGAUGUGAUCUCUGCGAAAAGAAAGCUUGUCUGACAUUACUGCUGGGAGUUUUUGCCACGUAGGAACGGGGUUCAUCUGCGACCAUGUGGAUUCCUGGAACGUCCCCAAAAGCACUCGCGGUUCUUCUGUGGGAAUACUUCGCUAGCCGACUCGACACCAAAGGGAAGGCGACUGAAGUGGCACGCAGCUCGGCUGAUUCCUUGUCCGGUUUGACUUGCCCGUAGCCGUCCUCUUCAUCAAGAACGGUGAACAGCUUUUUACCUGACAAGCUCUUUUGCACAUCCUCUACAGCGGGAAUAGAAAAGUGCUGCCUCGAUACUGCCUCGUUGAGGUCUCGCGGGUAUAAACCAAGCGGUAGCGAACCAUCCUUCUUUUGUGCAAUCACGAGGCUAUUGACCCAGGGUGUGUGGGUUUAGUCACCUUCGUAAGGACUCUCACAGCUUCCAGCGUUUCGAGGGCAGUCUUCUACGUGCCUAGGGUUGCACAGGGAAUUGUUCUACACCUGUGCACCGCUGGUGGUACUGCCGGGUCAACACAGAUGUGGUAGGUACCGGGAAAUUGGCCCACCCCUUCGAAAACGUCCGGACAUAGUUUGAGAAGGUCCGCCUUGGUUGCGGGUAUUGUCGGGGCCAUUCCGUGGACUCGUCUGAUGAGGUCUGACGUGGUGCAUGCCACCCUACCAGGUCUUGGUGGGUCACUAUUGUCGGUUAGGUAGAAAGGUACAUCGGAUUCAUUAGCACUAGAUUUGCAGCCUGCAAUGCCUGCACCUUUUGGUUUCAUGGGUGCACCGCCAAAUGCGACUAAUGUAACAUGAGUUUGAGCCUUGCAGUUUUCCCUGCAAAGCCUUUGCUACAGCUACUGGAAUAGCGUUUGCCUCCGCUCCAGUAUCUAACUUCAAAUUAGCUGGCAAGCCAGCGGUCAUCACUGUGCUAUACCAGGGGUGUAGGUUGUAGCCGUGUUGGUCUAAGGACACAGGCAGACAAGGUUCCUUGGGUGAAUUUGAUAUCUUGUAUUAGACCAACCCAAAUAGUUGGAGAAUAGUUAUUAAGCAAGCUUUCGGGUUCAAAAACCCUUCGUCAGGCUAAGGAGGUUUCAGCACUUGGUGUGUGCUCUUCCUGGAUGGGAUGAAAAGUCAAGAAGCCAGGGGCUGGGCUGGGCUGGGCUGGGGAGUCAGUGGCCAGGCAGACUGUAACGUAUCAAAACUCCUGUGCUAUACCUGCGCUAUACCAGGCACUCUGCUUAUCAACGGUCGGUGAGUGCUGCUUGGCAGACACUGAGCCCAUAUAGAGGGUACUGACUCCUUUUGCAGAUUUUGGAGCCUCUCCCUUUGAUUUGCACAUUUCUGCAAAGUGGUUCGCUCCAGAGCAUUUGUAACAGGUUUCUCCAAAAGCUGGGCAGGAUCUAGGCUUGCGUGUGCUUCCGCAUCGUUUGCAAACUUUGCCCUUUGCAGCUUGAUGGCCCUCCUGUGGAGCAAACUGCACCGGUGGUUUGCUUUGCUUUUGCAAAGUGCUAUGGCAGCUUUCCUUCCGCUCAACUGUUUGCAAGCUUGCUUCUGUAGAGAGCCUUUGGUCUGCCUACUCCGACAGGUCACUUCUGACACCAUACAGUGUUGGCCUUGGCCUCGGGGUCCCUGGGACGGGGUACUCACUCAGACCUCCACGCCCCUGGGCUUCUGUCCUCGAGUCAGCGUUCAGCAGAGCGACUGGUGGGACGGCAAACAGCUUCAUCUUUAUCAGCAACAGGAUUCAGCAACACACGCUCACAGCUUACGGGGGGGGAGAACAACAACAACCACCACCCGCACACCGCACCCACCGGGCAUCGGGGGAAGGACUGGAGCGUGCCACCGCAGGCCCCUUCCAGGCGCACGCCAUGUACCGCAGCCAUCCCCAGCAUCCUCUGGCCCCGUGAGCCUGCACGACACCCCUCCCGCAACGUCUCCUGCCCAGCGAGUGCAAGGCACCACGGUGCCCCUGCUCACCCAGGCAGUCCAGAGGCGUGCCCAGAUUCAUUGCCCCCGUCUCUCGCUGGCUGCCAACCGGAGACAGAGGCGCCAGAUUUGCAAGGAAGCCUCAGCCCCACGAUGGCAGCGUCUCACAUCAACCCUCUCCAGUCCAGCGGGGCCCUGCUCCCAGCGACAGCUCUCUUAGCGGCACACAGGCACGCUGGGAGUCCUUCCCCAGGGGCAGGGUUCAAAGGGACAGCUGCUAUUAAGCUCUAAUCCCUGAGGAGGAAGGGAAGGCGCGUCACUCGUCUAUGCGAAUGUGCUUAAACGCUGCGUGUAAACGAGUUUCAACGCUCUUAAAUCGCUGAGUGUGAACGCACCUAAUUGCAUUUGAACACGCCUCAUCAUUGAACGUGAACACACUUUAACUGCUGCCUGUGAAGGAGCUGAGGAUUGAACCAGAGCAAAACCUUUCCAGUUUGGUGUGUGGGGCCUCUCCUCUGCUUCAUCUCGGUUGCUCUCAGGGAGCUCACGCCUAACAACAUUUAGACCGCUCGCUACUGCGCGUGAACAGGCUUCGCUGUUUGUGUGCACACAUUUCGUUGUGUGUCCACGUGCUUCGCUGUUGUGUGUGAACCUACUUCAUCACGCAGGGUGAACGAGCUUUGUCACCGAGCAUGAACACGCUUCAACGCUGCGCAGGAACAAACCGAGAACAACUGGAAUGCAGCGACACCUUUCCAGUUUGGGGCGCGGAGCCUGUGCUUUGCCUCGUUUGAAUCGUUCCAGCGUGCUCACACCCGACCGUCAGACGAGCGCCCCGCUCCCUCGGCUGUCACAAGCAGCCUCCGGCCCCCUCCAGCAACACCGCCCCCCGCCCGCCCGUGGGGCCCACAGCACUGGCAUCUGCCUUGCUCAUGUUCCCGUCCCCUCACCGCCUCCCUGCCUCUCUCGCCUCCGCGCUGGCUGUUGGAGCACAGGAAGCGGAGACGAGACGCUCUCGGCAGGAAGGCGGAGAAACGCCCCAGCGUGAUGACGACAUCCUGACUUGAACCCUGCCCCGGCACUGCUCUCCUCCGACCCGCAGCGCGUGGCUUCUGCCCGGCCCUGCUCUGUCCAGGGAGGCGCGGGACGGAUGCGGGAGGCUGCCCCCGCACAGGAAAACUGCCCGUCUUGGAAGGCGCUGCCAACAAAGGGCUCGUUAAAUCCCCAGCGGGAACGGACCGACUGUCAGGAGCCCUCCGUGGGAUAAGAGGCUGUCAGCAUGCCCGCUGCAAGCACCGCGGCACUGCUAGCACCGUAAGCCAUGCCCAGCGCGGUCGGUCGGUGAUAACGCCAGAUUUGAAGACAUCAAGCUUGAGGACUAAUCUCAGGACACAGUCGUUCAACCAAGAUCUGUCCGUCUUCCAGUCCAUUCAUCGAAAACGAAAGUGAGAGCGUGGUUAUGGUUAAGGAACCAGGCAGGAAAGGUAAAAUGAGGAUGGCAGAGAAGGAGCACUACCUCGAGGCGCAGUAAGCACAUGAUAUCCAUGAAAGAUCCUCUUCAGCCGCAGCUCUGGUGCAAGGGCUGUUUGACCAAAGACAGAAGAGGGAGAUCCAGGACACGGAUCUGGUUAAACAGUUCGCCCUCCAGGAAGCGAAAGGGCUUGAAGGGAAACUGGGGGAAGUUGCCCAUGAAAGCGGUGCAAUGCUGAGACACUGGGAGGACCCACACCGUCAAAGCGCCGACAGUAGGCGGCAAGUAAUACAGUGUAUUCCCCAGCGCAGAGCUGGGAGCAGCGGGAGCCCCCGGCCUCCAGAAAUAGAAGUUAGAGUCACCGCAGGGAGCACGUGUGAGACAGACCUGGGCCGUCUGUUCUUGUGCACAGACAAGAAAUGGUGUUCGUUAGGACCCGGUGUUGGAGUCCCUUUCCUCAUCCGCUGUCACAGUGCCCCGGAGGGAAACCCUGGCAGGGGCCAGUCCUGUGCGAAGUCCCUCGUUGUGAGCACCAUCAGGCCGCGUGCAAGCCCAGCCCUGUCUCACACCUGGAGGCUGAUGCAGCAGUGCGGCCGGACAUGGCCGAGACGUGAACACGGGGAGACCCGGAGAAGGUGACGCGCAUCACAAUGGCCCCUUCUAGAACCGGCUCGUCGCCGUGCGGCUCCUGGAGACGCGCACAGCAGUUGGACUGCUCCCGAGCCAACACUGCUUGGAGUCAGGUCACACCUGUGUCCUUGGUGUCACCCUGACCGCAAGGCUACAGAAGACUGGACAGUCUUUUAUCCCAGGAGAAAAAUAUGGGAUCCUUUGGAAAGAGAGGAAGGGCAUCUCAGGAGGAGGGACAAGGAUGGAGAUGCAUCCCUCUGCCAUCCUGCCUCAAGCACUGCCGCACGCGGGAGCCGAGGCCCGAAGCAGGCAGCCAGACAGGGCAGCAGAUGUUUGCCACAGCAGAGUCAAGGGCCUGGGACGCUGUGUGGCGGCAGCAGCUGCGGCUGCAGCGGGCAGGCCAGGAGCGGGUAAGACCAUCCACCGCUCGGUCUCCCCCACGCACAACCCACCCUCCCUUCUAUGCCCCGGGGGCAAAAAUGAGUAGUUGUACCCCUGUCUGCCCACUCCGGGAGUGCCUCCACUUAAAAAUCCUAGAUGUUAUCCUCCCUUUUGAAGAACCCUUUCCAAACUAACCAUGUCCAUUUGUAGCCUAACUGGUAAGAAAGCCAAUUACUCUUUCAACAUCGCAACCAAAUGGCAAAUUGAGCUAGUACCGGCGGGGCUGUCUUUACCCAUCCAGAUCGGAAGUUGUUCCAGACUUUGAGAAGCCGUCAGAAUUUGACCGUCCCCCACGACAGUCCUGUUUGAUCAGAAACCAAUUGUAUUUGGAGACAUCCUGAGGCGGAGGGUUGAGGCCCCAUUUUGAAUGCAAAGUGCUGAGUUUGAUGAUUGCUGAGGAGGCAGUUGCAAAGGAUGCUGUCUUUAUUCACAGAGACUUUUGUCAUUCAUUUCCAUAGCUACAAAAAUGGGGUGCUUCUCUGCAUCACAACUCAUUGCCAUUUGUUGCACACCAACACCAUAGAUUAAAAGUAACACUUCUUUGGUGCCUGCUGCCCAGAGGACUGCUGCUAGAGAUGACUACCAGCUGUGAUCUGGAGACAUCCUCUGUGGCACCCUUGAAAGGUCCCCUGGGGCACCCCGACUACCAAUCCUUGAUCUAGAACGUGUGCACUUUGACACGUGCUCUCACAGGGUAAGCUGUGGGCAAUUUAGUGGACAUAGCGUAAAACUUGUGUGCUGUUAAAAUGCUCCUUCCUGUUAUCAAAGAGAAUAGCUCCUGCACUAUGGAAUAUCUUCUGGAUCGGUUUGAUAUUCCACAGCUAAAAUAUAAGCACAUGCACAAAGUGGAGAGCACUCAGAUCAAGUCACGCAUAACUCAAUGCACCUCAGUCUUAAGGUGCAGGCAGACAUGACAUUUGAAAUGUCUCCAGGCAUAGCUGGCUUGGGGCUGUUUCAAAAAAGGAACCACUGCAGGACAUUGCACGGCCUCUGCAGUGGCCCCUGGCUGGAGCACUUGGAAAUCUCCACGAGGCUGCAGCAAUCGGUGGUUUGCUCCCCCUUUCCGCCUCCCCCCACAGGGCAGAGGAACGGAGGAUGCUGCCAGUGCUGCUCCGCUCCCGUUCCCCCACUGCCCCAAACCCUCUCCCUUACUGACAUGGGCUCGAGAGUGGGAGUGCAGGGAGGGCAGUGGUGGGGGUGUGGUGGUGUGGUAGGAGGUCACACAGGGAGGAGCCAUGGGGGUGUAGUGGUGAAGGAAGCAAGGAGUCUAGUGCAGGGGCUUGCAGAGUUUGGUGGAUUUGAGUCUCCUGCGUGGGGCGGGGAGCUACCUGUAGUGCAGUGCCAGGGAGGAGUGGCCCAGCUCUGUGUGUGCUGGACCUGGAGACGACUGUUUUCCAGGUAGCUCCAGGGGGUUUUUGUGGCCAGUCUUCUUCGUGGCCACCUCCUCCCCCUUCUCCUCCCCAUCCUUCUUCUCUGUGCCGUUUCCCUGGAGUAGGGCCCGGCGGUAGUUGUCGAUGUGGUCUUCAUAGGCCCCGAUGUGCACAGCUGGCGUCCCUCCUGCUCAGGCUCCCGCACUUGGCCCUCCAGGGACUCCAGCAAGGAGCACAUCCCACAAGUGGGGGAGCGCCUGUGCUCGGGGCCAGCACCGCUGCCACCCCAGGCAGCCCCGCCGUCCAGGGCCAGGGCUGCACGCUCUGUCUGCCUGGGGUCUGGGCGCAGGGCAGCUGAAGCUGACAGGCACGGUGAGCCACUGCCACAGCUGCGAACUACGUCUCGUACUUACCUGGUCUCAGCAGCUGCUCUUCAGGCCCGUGGGCUCAGGCCGCUUGCUUGGACCAGCCCUCUGGGUGCCCUUUGCACGCCCCUCUGCACGAGCUCCUGUGCAAACCGCUGCUCCCCAGUUGGGCUGCACCUGUUCGUGCGCUCUGUUCCCGGGGCUCCCGGGGGGGCUCAGCUAAGUAGGGACUUGCGGGGGGGGUUCCCUCCCGGGCUCCACUCAGCUGACAUGUCCUGCCCAGCAUGGCCCCAAACACACACAUGCACACACUCACUGACGCACACACUCGCACUUCCUCACGCUUUACAAGCACCCCUGGGCUCACUCGCCCCCUCUCACGGCCGAGCUCCUACCUCCUGGCUCUUCGCUGGGGCGCCCGGGUCUUCGGCUCCCAGGGACACAACAGGCAUGAACCCAUGUGUCCCCCUGGGGAGCAGACCCAAUAGCAAUAUUGACUAAUGGAGGCCACUGGAUGUUCCCCACCUCCCGUGUCUGGGACAGCACCGCACCUACUGCCGCGUUGGAGGCAUCCGUAUGCAAUAGAAAUGGUUUGGUGAAGUCGUGUGUGUACGCCCCUGGCUGGGUGCACAGAGCCUUUUUAACUGAGAAAUGCCUGCUCCAGCUCAGGUGUCUCAGGUGUGCAGCACCCCGCUCCCUCCCAGCCCUGCCGGCAUCCCUCACUCCUGACCUCCCCCAGCCCUGCUGGUGCUCCUCAUUCCCAACCCACGUUUCCCUGCUCCCCCUGGUAACCCUAGAUAGGGGGGCAUUGGCAGAGGGGCAGGGGGCAGGGGAUGUCUGCAGGGGAAGGGGGUGGGG